GGAAAGCCUGAUAAAUCGAGGAAACCAGAAGGCCCCUGCCCACCUCUCAUCACCUCUAGCGCCAGUGGGGGAGUGGAGAGCCCCCUCUCUACACCCUACUCCUACACCCAAGGACCCAAAGAGGACCCCCACAGCAAGCAGGCUCACAGACCCCCAGCUACCGGGAAAACCGCGUGCACGCCUGCGAAUUCCAGGACCCUGGAGAAGGACGCGGCGGCUGGCACCCGCCCUGCCCCUCCCCCGCCUUCCCAAAAGUCCGCGGAGAACUUACACGACCAGGGAGGGCAUUUCGAUUCCACCCUGCCCCAGUCAUGACUGCGAAUUUUAGGGGCUGAAGUCAUCUUGGCUCUCCUGCCAGCCUCCUCCUCAGCCCCCUGCUAACACAGCACUCCAAUGCUCACUAAAGCAGCCGCCACCGAGUGACAUCACCCCUAAGAAGAUGCCCGUCACCCUGACAGUGCUGCUCCAGGGCAAAUUCCACUGAAACAACCCAAGAGUUACAAGGAAGGGGAAAAGCCUGUGGCAGCAUUGGAAAACAGAGAACAAUAUCAUCAAGUGACCGAUAGCACAGACGGAUUUCUGAACGAAAUGAAGAUGAUGGAAUCAGAUCAACAGGGAAGCAGAUGGUGCCCAACAGCCUAGUGAUGUAACACUGGCAAGGGGCGAUGCCCGUGAGCAACUGGAUAAUCAAAUCUGGAGCAUUUCAGUCUCAAACACCUCCUCAGAGUGAUCCCAGGAGAUCUCUGCAGCCACGGUGACAUUUUCUUUAUCUGAAGCGAUGACACAGCUCACUGAAUGCCAUUCUUCCACAUGCUGGAAAAGCGAGGUCUAGUGAACACAAUUCCUUUCCGUGCGGAAAGUCUGAAAUCUUUUUAACACUUCGGACACAGAGCAUCGUAAGGUCCCAGAAUAGAGGGUGUGAGCAAUUUCAGCGCUCACCUCGGCCCAAGCGAAGCUCCAGCGGGAGCAAUUGAGACCCAGGGACGAAGCUAGGGAGGGCCUGGCAGCCCCCGGCACUGGCCGGCAGGGGUAACCCAGGAAAAACAGUCUCCUGGCCUCUCGUUACCCGCUUCAGGCCCUCCGCCCUCCCCUGGCCUCUCGGGACGGCCGCGCUUACCUGAACCGAACUGUACGCACAAGCGCGCUCCUGACUCCAGGUGCACACCGUGGAGGCCUGAAACGAGAGCCAUGACCGCGACGCGCUGAA
rnacentral:lncRNA from 10 species